rnacentral:rRNA from 1 species
CGUGUUAAUACCGGAUACGACCACUUCGGACAUCCGACGGUGGUGGAAAGUUUUUCGGUCUGGGAUGGGCCCGCAGCCUAUCAGCUAGUUGGUGGGGUAAUGGCCUACCAAGGCGACGACGGGUAGCCGGCCUCAGAGGGCGACCGGCCACACUGGAACUGAGACACGGUCCAGACUCCUACGGGAGGCAGCAGUGGGGAAUAUUGCACAAUGGGCGAAAGCCUGAUGCAGCGACGCCGCGUGAGGGACGACGGCCUUCGGGUUGUAAACCUCUUUCAGCAGGGACGAAGCGAAAGUGACUGUACCUGCAGAAGAAGCACCGGCUAACUACGUG